CUGCAAUCGUGCUUCAACAGUAAGGAAAGCCAGCUGUUUAAGGAUUGGCAAGCAGAUGGAAAACAGAGAUUUGGAGUAAAGAGGUCGUUCUCAAAAUAGAAGAUAUUUAUUCUACGUGUACAAGACAAAACAAGCUCAUGGACCUUUAACUCCAGAUCACACAGGAUAUUGCUAUGCUUGUUCUUCAUUUGAUGAAAGAAAUCAGCAACACUUGGAUAGAAUCGUAAAUUAUUGUUCAAAUGAACUUGAAGCAGAGUUCUGUAAUUGUCUUUUACUGAAGGACAAUUAUUGUGAUGCUGAACAGAAG